UUCUCAUUACCUCAGUCGGCAGAGCAUGAGACUCUUAAUUCCAGGGUCGUGGGUUUGAGCCCCACAUUGGGUGAAA